GGGCUGUAGCUCAGUGGUAGAGUAUCUGCUUUGCAUGCAGAAGGUGCCAGGUUCAAUCCCCAGCACCAACCA